rnacentral:lncRNA from 1 species
GCUAAGAAAGGCUGUUAAGACUGACCUUGCACUGGGCACUCUCUGCUUUUCCAGGUGGCGCUGCGGCUGGAGGACGGUGAUGAGACUGCCGAGCCGCCCCCCAGCGGGCGCAGGGACCGGAGGAGGGCCAGUGUGUGUGGCGGUGGUGGUAGUGGCGCAGGGGGUGAGUCCCGGGGCCUGGACCGCAGGCGGAGCCGAAGGCACUCGGUGCAGAGCAUCAAGAGCCCUGUGUCGGCCCCGUCCAGUCCCUGCUCCCCAUCAGCUCCAGGCUUCAAGACCAGUCAAGUGCAAGAUCUCCGUGAAAAGGUUGAGGAGGAGGAGGAGGAAGAAGAGGAACAGCCAGUCACGGAGCCCAAUUCCGAGGAAGAGGCAGAGGACAAUGCCCCCUGUCAGGGCAAGGACAGCAAUAGCAGCAGCAGCCGUGAGGCCAGCCCUGCCUCAGAGCAGAAGGAUGCUGCUCUGGAGAGCCCAGCCCUCCCCGCUGCCUCCAGCACCACUUCGCAGGGAAAGCAGCUUCCAGGUGGCUCUGCAGCUGGGACCCCCUUGUGCAGAGGGUCCUCAGGGCCAGCUCUGCGGCCCCCUCCCACCCCUGCCUCGGUCCCUCGGCCCUCCUCCACACCUGGCCCCCCGAAAGCGUCACCAACCCUAGAAAAGCUGCCCUACGUGCCCCACAGCCCGUUCCACCUCUUCUCCUAUGACUUUGAGGAUUCGCCC